rnacentral:rRNA from 1 species
CCUACGGGUGGCAGCAGUGAGGAAUAUUGGUCAAUGGGCGGGAGCCUGAACCAGCCAAGUCGCGUGAGGGAAGACGGUCCUAUGGAUUGUAAACCUCUUUAUGCGGGGAGCAAUGCCGGGCACGUGUGUCCGGAGGGAGAGUACCUGCAGAAUAAGCAUCGGCAAACUCCGUGCCAGCAGCCGCGGUAAUACGGAGGAUGCGAGCGCUAUCCGGAUUUAUUGGGUAUUGGGGGUGCGUAGGCGGAUUUUUAAGUCAGCGGUAAAAUGUCGGGGCCCAACCCGGGCCGGCCGUUGAAACUGGGGAUCUUGAGUGGGCGAGAAGUAUGCGGAAUGCGUGGUGUAGCGGGGAAUGCAUAGAUAUCACGAAGAACUCCGAUUGCGAAGGCAGCAUACCGGCGCCCGACUGACGCUGAGGCACGAAAGCGUGGGGAUCGAACAGGAUUAGAUACCCGUGUAGUC